AAAUAUUAUUGCAUUCGACCUGUUUAUUUCGUAUAAUGACAUCACACAAUUAUCACGAUAAUUUUACCUACAUCCCGCCGAGUAAUUUUUAUAUUAUCCGUUAGUCUUCGGUUGAAUUGAAUAACGGGUGUAUUUUUAUUGUAAUCAGCGGCGCAAUCGGUGGUCAUUUUCUGCAAUGUGGACAGGGGUGGAGGGAGGGUAAU